UAAACUAGGAUUAGAUACCCUAUUAUUUUAAAUGUAAUUUGUUAAUACUAAAUUAGUAUUAGUUAUGUUCUUGAAAAUUAAAAAAUUUGGCGGUAUUUUAGUCUUUUCAGAGGAAUCUGUCCUGUAAUUGAUAGUCCACGAUUAAAUUUACUUUAUUUAUUAGUUUACAUAUCGUCGUAGUUUGAAUAUUUUAAGAGAAUAUUAAUAUUCAAAAUUUUAAAUUAAAAAAUAAAUCAGAUCAAGGUGUAGUUUAUAAUAAAGAAGAGAUGGAUUACAGAAAAUUUAUUUUAGGAGGAUUUAUUGAAAAUAAAUUUGAAUAUGGAUUUGAAAGUAAUUUUUGAAUAUUUUUUUGAGAUGAUUAAAGCUCUAAAAUAUGCACACAUCGCCCGUCGCUCUUAA
rnacentral:rRNA from 1 species